rnacentral:rRNA from 1 species
ACCGAGUCUUAAUUGGGCGUUAAGUUGCAGGGUAUAGACCCGAAACCCGGUGAUCUAGCCAUGGGCAGGUUGAAGGUUGGGUAACACUAACUGGAGGACCGAACCGACUAAUGUUGAAAAAUUAGCGGAUGACCUGUGGCUGGGGGUGAAAGGCCAAUCAAACCGGGAGAUAGCUGGUUCUCCCCGAAAGCUAUUUAGGUAGCGCCUCGUGAAUUCAUCUCCGGGGGUAGAGCACUGUUUCGGCUAGGGGGCCAUCCCGGCUUACCAACCCGAUGCAAACUGCGAAUACCGGAGAAUGUUAUCACGGGAGACACACGGCGGGUGCUAACGUCCGUCGUGAAGAGGGAAACAACCCAGACCGCCAGCUAAGGUCCCAAAGUCAUGGUUAAGUGGGAAACGAUGUGGGAAGGCCCAGACAGCCAGGAUGUUGGCUUAGAAGCAGCCAUCAUUUAAAGAAAGCGUAAUAGCUCACUGGUCGAGUCGGCCUGCGCGGAAGAUGUAACGGGGCUAAACCAUGCACCGAAGCUGCGGCAGCGACGCUGAUGCGUUGUUGGGUAGGGGAGCGUUCUGUAAGCCUGUGAAGGUGUGUCGUGAGGCAUGCUGGAGGUAUCAGAAGUGCGAAUGCUGACAUAAGUAACGAUAAAGCGGGUGAAAAGCCCGCUCGCCGGAAGACCAAGGGUUCCUGUCCAACGUUAAUCGGGGCAGGGUGAGUCGACCCCUAAGGCGAGGCCGAAAGGCGUAGUCGAUGGGAAACGGGUUAAUAUUCCCGUACUUGGUGUUACUGCGAAGGGGGGACGGAGAAGGCUAUGUUGGCCGGGCGACGGUUGUCCCGGUUUAAGCGUGUAGGCUGGUUUUCCAGGCAAAUCCGGAAAAUCAAGGCUGAGGCGUGACGACGAGGCACUACGGUGCUGAAGCAACAAAUGCCCUGCUUCCAGGAAAAGCCUCUAAGCAUCAGGUAACAUCAAAUCGUACCCCAAACCGACACAGGUGGUCAGGUAGAGAAUACCAAGGCGCUUGAGAGAACUCGGGUGAAGGAACUAGGCAAAAUGGUGCCGUAACUUCGGGAGAAGGCACGCUGACACGUAGGUGAAGUGAUUUACUCAUGGAGCUGAAGUCAGUCGAAGAUACCAGCUGGCUGCAACUGUUUAUUAAAAACACAGCACUGUGCAAACACGAAAGUGGACGUAUACGGUGUGACGCCUGCCCGGUGCCGGAAGGUUAAUUGAUGGGGUCAGCGCAAGCGAAGCUCCUGAUCGAAGCCCCGGUAAACGGCGGCCGUAACUAUAACGGUCCUAAGGUAGCGAAAUUCCUUGUCGGGUAAGUUCCGACCUGCACGAAUGGCGUAAUGAUGGCCAGGCUGUCUCCACCCGAGACUCAGUGAAAUUGAACUCGCUGUGAAGAUGCAGUGUACCCGCGGCAAGACGGAAGACCCCGUGAACCUUUACUAUAGCUUGACACUGAACAUGAGCCUUGAUGUGUAGAUAGUGGGAGGCUUUGAAGUGUG